rnacentral:rRNA from 1 species
UACGUAGGGACCUAGCGUUGUCCGGAAUCAUUGGGCGUAAAGCGCGCGUAGGCGGCCCGGUAAGUCCGUUGUAAAAGUCGGAAGGCUCAACCUUCGAAAGCCGAUGGAUACUGCCGGGCUAGAGUCCGGAAGAGGCGAGUAGAAUUCCUGGUGUAGCGGUGGAAUGCGCAGAUAUCAGGAGGAAUACCCAUAGCGAAGGCAGCUCGCUGGGACGGUACUGACGCUGAGGCGCGAAAGCGUGGGGAGCGAACAGG